UGUUAAUAAGCUAAAAUAAAGCAUAUUAUUAGCAAGCUAGCUGCUAACAGUCUGAUUAAGCCACUUCAAGACGACUUUGGGGAGGAGAAAAUUGUUUUUAACUCUCUAUCGCUGCCAUUUCUUCUUCUACCGUCACUCGCAUCAGCUGCACUUCCGGCGGGACGUCACUGUGUUUCUUCCCAUGACGUCGCAGCUUGUUACCUGGACGCUGGUCCCAGAGGGGACUCCGUGAAGAAACCAGGGACCUGUGGUGCACAGGACUGAGGUUGCGCAAACAAGAUCCAACAAAAGCUCCCUGCUUCCAUACGCAACUCAAAAUGGGGCUUAUUCAAAUAAGGAAGGGCUGAUAAGUUUAAUUUUUUUUUAAUGCGACCAAGAUGAGAAAAUUAUCCUCUUCAUGCUUUCCGGCCCUCAGGGUAGACGUGGACAUUAAUGAGCAGAAAUCACCACAGUGUGCAUGCUGGGAAGUAGAGCAAAUAAAAAGAUUUGUGAGGAAGUGUCUCGGGUGGGACUGAACUUACUGGCAAGGAUCUGGAAGGUUCCGGUGAGGAAGAAGCGUCCACCCUUCUGCAAAGUGAAGAGCUGGCAGAAGAAGAGGAAGAGAGACAGGCAGCUGAAGAUGAUGGAUAGAAUCAUGAGAGCCUGGACCGCCUGAAUCCACUCUGCAAGGGAGAGGAGGCAGAAGAAGGAGAGUGUUGUCAGUAUCUGACACGGUCGUCAUUAUCCAAAGCGUCAUUUUUAUACAACACUGAUUUUAUGAGCACAUUAGAAGGGAAUGGUAAGUGGAGACAAAUGUAAAAACAAAUGCUCAAGUGUGCUUGGACCGGCCUCGUCUCUGCUGAAUGAAAGCAUGCUCUCAAAGACAAAGUAAUGAAGAAGCCCUGGCUAUGUUUACUUCAGGGAAUGUGUAAUGGAUCCAUAACAACAAAACCUUGGUAUCUUGUUCCUAAAAGCUCUGUGUGCCUCGCACACCAGAGCCUAUGACUAAAUGUACCACAUCAAUCGUUACCGCUGGUCCUCCAAGGCCGGGCUACUAGAAGCCCUUUACCCAUUAGACACCUGUAUUGACAGGAAGGACCGUCUAUAUCUGUUCUCUCUAUCUGUGUGUCUGUUCUUCAUUUGUGCCAUCAUGCAAGGAAUCUCAGGAUUUCCAAGCAGGCUCUAUUUCUUGUCUGAGAGUUAUUCACGCUGCCUUCCUGGCCUCUCAGGUUUCCUAAGAACACACUUUGUCCCUCUGUGUGUCUGUCCAACUCUUCUUUUUAGUCGCCGUGUUUUGUUGCCAUCCCUGCCACAAAAUGCUGCCGUGCCACAAGCUGCUUGACCACGGAUGACUCUGUGCACUGGCAGCCAAGUCUAGCCAUCUGCAUCUGUCCCAUCCUAGUAUCAGCAAAUAUUCCAGACGAGUCUAUAAAAAGUGGGAUUUCAAUUUGGCUCUGUUUGCAUGCACGCCACUGCCAACAUGUCUCCUUCGGCGUUCACAUCUGUGGUUUAUUAGUUCCUUUGCAUUAUGUAAAUCAAGGGUAUGUUGUGGUUU